GCCAUUUCAUGGCUUAGCAAAGAAGAAGUCCUGUGCAAAACUGGCCAGUGGCAGCUUCUCUCUCCCAUUCCCUCUGCUUGGAGCACAUACUUGGCACCAUAUCAUGAGUUUCACUUUCAGAAACCAGCUGUCAAGUUAUCAGGCUGAGAGAUGAUUGUUUCAAUCUGCUGGGUUUCUGGUGAUCUGCAUGACAAGCAUCACAGGACUGCCAUGAACUGGAAUGAAAUGCAUUGCAAGUGAAAGGAAAAAUAAACCAUACACUUUUAUAAACAGCUGUGUGACUUUGGACUUUGGAAAACCUGAGUUUUGUCUACAUGCUGAAGUUCACCCCAGGUAUCACAAAUAGUGACAAACUAAUUCUCAGUAAAGAACCAGAAGUUCUUAAGUAUUGAAAAAUACUGCUUUUUUCCACAAAAUAAAAACUUUGUGAGAAGUUGUAACA
rnacentral:lncRNA from 1 species